rnacentral:rRNA from 1 species
AUUGAACGCUGGCGGCAUGCCUUACACAUGCAAGUCGAACGGUAACAGGGAGCUUGCUCCGCUGACGAGUGGCGAACGGGUGAGUAAUGUAUCGGAACGUACCAUUCAGUGGGGGAUAACGUAGCGAAAGUUACGCUAAUACCGCAUAUUCUGUGUGCAGGAAAGCAGGGGAUCGCAAGACCUUGCGCUGAUUGAGCGGCCGAUAUCAGAUUAGCUAGUUGGUGAGGUAAAGGCUCACCAAGGCGACGAUCUGUAGCGGGUCUGAGAGGAUGAUCCGCCACACUGGAACUGAGACACGGUCCAGACUCCUACGGGAGGCAGCAGUGGGGAAUUUUGGGACAAUGGGGGGCAACCCUGAUCCAGCCAUGCCGCGUGAGUGAAGAAGGCCUUCGG